UACAGAGGUCUCAACCGUUGUUCGGAUUCAUUGGGCGUAAAGGGUGCGUAGGCGGUCGCGCAAGUCGGAUGUGAAAUCUUGGGGCUCAACCCCGAAACUGCAUUCGAUACUGCGUGGCUCGAGUACUGGAGAGGAGACUGGAAUUUACGGUGGUAGCAGUGAAAUGCGUAGAUAUCGUAAGGAAGACCAGUGGCGAAGGCGAGUCUCUGGACAGUUACUGACGCUGAGGCACGAAGGCCAGGGGAGCAAACGGG
rnacentral:rRNA from 1 species